rnacentral:rRNA from 1 species
GACGAACGCUGGCGGCGUGCUUAACACAUGCAAGUCGAACGGAAAGGCCCCUUUGGGGGUACUCGAGUGGCGAACGGGUGAGUAACACGUGAGUAACCUGCCCUUGACUUCGGGAUAACUUCAGGAAACUGGGGCUAAUACCGGAUAGGAAUCCUUGCUGCAUGGUGGGGGUUGGAAAGCUUCGGCGGUUUUGGAUGGACUCGCGGCUUAUCAGCUUGUUGGUGGGGUAGUGGCUUACCAAGGCUUUGACGGGUAGCCGGCCUGAGAGGGCAACCGGCCACAUUGGGACUGAGAUACGGCCCAGACUCCUACGGGAGGCAGCAGUGGGGAAUAUUGCACAAUGGGCGGAAGCCUGAUGCAGCAACGCCGCGUGCGGGAUGACGGCCUUCGGGUUGUAAACCGCUUUCAGCAGGGGCGAAGCUUGUGGUGACGGUACCUGCAGAAGAAGCACCGGCUAACUACGUG